UACGUAGGGUGCAAGCGUUAAUCGGAAUUUCUGGGCGUAAAGCGCGUGUAGGCGGUUCGGUAAGUCCGCUGUGAAAGUCGGGGGCUCAACCCUCGAAAGCCGGUGGAUACUGUCGGGCUAGAGUACGGAAGAGGCGAGUGGAAUUCCUGGUGUAGCGGUGAAAUGCGCAGAUAUCAGGAGGAACACCAAUUGCGAAGGCAGCUCGCUGGGACGUUACUGACGCUGAGACGCGAAAGCGUGGGGAGCAAACAGG
rnacentral:rRNA from 1 species